GUUAAGGACUGAGCCAAAUAUACACGGUUUAAUCAAAAUAAAACAAACAAAACUUGGAACUAUAUGUCUGUUAAACCGUAAUUCACCUCUCAUAUUAAGUGCACCCACACUUAUUAGAUAUUUUAUUAAAGGAACACUAUAGUCACCAGAACAACUACAGCUUAUUGAAUUUGUUCUGGUAAGUAGAAUCAUUACCUUCAGGCUUUUUGCUAUUGACA